rnacentral:rRNA from 1 species
UACGGAGGGGGCUAGCGUUGUUCGGAAUUACUGGGCGUAAAGCGCACGUAGGCGGCUUUGUAAGUCAGAGGUGAAAGCCCGGAGCUUAACUCCGGAAUUGCCUUUGAGACUGCAUCGCUUGAAUCCAGGAGAGGUGAGUGGAAUUCCGAGUGUAGAGGUGAAAUUCGUAGAUAUUCGGAAGAACACCAGUGGCGAAGGCGGCUCACUGGACUGGUAUUGACGCUGAGGUGCGAAAGCGUGGGGAGCGAACAGG